rnacentral:rRNA from 1 species
GCGGUGCGGUAAGUCGGAAGUGAAAUCUCUGGGCUUAACUCACAGGCUGCUUUCGAAACUGCCGCGCUUGAGUGCGGGAGAGGCGAGUGGAAUUACAGGUGUAGCGGUGAAAUGCGUAGAUAUCUGUAGGAACACCCGUGGCGAAGGCGGCUCGCUGGACCGCAACUGACGCUGAUGAACGAAAGCUAGGGGAGCAAACAGGAUUAGAUACCCUGGUAGUCCUAGCCCUAAACCAUCAUGACUUGGGGUGGCCCGCGUUGGCUGGUCGUCCGGCAGCUAUCACGUUAUAUCCUGCCCCUGUGGAGUACAGUCGCACGGCUGAAACUCUCAGGAGUUGUCAGGGGCCCGCACACGCGGUGGAGAAUGUGUUUCUUUUCUACACACCGCGAAGAAACUUAUAUGUGCUUGAACCGUGGGUGACAACCGGUGGAAACAUCGCCUUCCCGCAAGGGACACCGGUAUAGGUGCUGCAUGGCUGUCGUCAGCUCGUGCCGUGGAGUGUUGGGUUAAGUCCCGCAACGAGCGCAACCCCUACUCU